CUGGCUCAGAUUGAACGCUGGCGGCGUGCUUAACACAUGCAAGUCGAACGCGAAAGGGACUUCGGUCCUGAGUAAAGUGGCGCACGGGUGAGUAACGCGUGGAUAAUCUGCCCUUAUGAUCGGGAUAACAGUUGGAAACGGCUGCUAAUACCGGAUACGCUCAAAAUGAACUUUUUGAGGAAAGAUGGCCUCUGCUUGCAUGCUAUCACGUAAGGAUGAGUCCGCGUCCCAUUAGCUUGUUGGCGGGUAACGGCCCACCAAGGCAACGAUGGGUAGCCGAUUUGAGAGGAUGAUCGGCCACACUGGAACUGAAACACGGUCCAGACUCCUACGGGAGGCAGCAGUGGGGAAUAUUGCGCAAUGGGCGAAAGCCUGACGCAGCGACGCCGCGUGAGGGAUGAAGGUUUUCGGAUCGUAAACCUCUGUCAGAAGGGAAGAAACUACGUUGUGCUAAUCAGCAGCGUACUGACGGUACCUUCAAAGGAAGCACCGGCUAACUCCGUGCCAGCCGCCGC
rnacentral:rRNA from 1 species